rnacentral:snRNA from 1 species
GUGCUCGCUUCGGCAUCACAUAUACUAAAAUUGGAACGAUGCAGAGAAGAUUAGCUGGCUCCUGUGCAAGGAUGACAUGCAAAUUUGUGAAGUGUUCCAUAUUUUU